AGUAUAACAGAAGCAAAAAGCUGCAGUUAGCUGGGGCAUCUUGACCUCAAGCCCCUGGGGCAGACUGGGUAAUUUUCUGAAAGAACUUACUAUGGUAGAGGAGGUAUAAGCGGGGUGGGGGUUGGUUAGCUCUGAAUCAGACCUUAGAUGGCUGCAGCAGGGACAAGGAGGAAGCUUGGCCCCAUAUUCCUUAACUGUACAAAUAUAUCCUUCAUUUGAAGUUUAAGUGUCAGUAUUUGGGGGACAGAGCCAGGAGCCACAGUUUUCUCCAGUGUCAUACUCAGCAGCCAGAGAAGUUUUCAGAGAUAUAAGAAUCUCGAUGCUGUCUACAGCAGGGACAAAUAUAUGGAAAAGAAGAUAUGUGGAUUCUGAUGGUCCCUGGUACUCAAGAAUUUUUCUCUGAUGCAAAUAAAAGUGCAGUUCAUGAGAAAGGAGUAGAAUUCAAUUUUCAUAACAAUUUCUGCCUUAUUGAGAAAAAUGUAAAGGCCCUUUGAAGGAAGAAAUGCAGAGAUUUCUUUAAAACCCGAAUGAAACUGAUAUUCUUGAACACCCCUAGAUGCUAUCUUUGGCUUCACAGCGCAAUGUCCUCACCAGCCUACAUCUGCACCACAGCAUCGUGCACAAAUCUGCUGUUCCAUCUGUUGCAAGCACGGGGAUUACAAUGGAUUCAUAUUUGGACCUCAGUUUCCGAUUCCCUGGAGACAUUCCACAAGAAUUGGAAUAUUGGUGAAGCCAACAUUAAAAUCUCUGCCUACAGCUGCCCCACUC